rnacentral:rRNA from 1 species
UACGUAGGGCGCAAGCGUUGUCCGGAAUUAUUGGGCGUAAAGAGCUCGUAGGCGGUUUGUCGCGUCUGCUGUGAAAACCUCAGGCUCAACCUGGGGCUUGCAGUGGGUACGGGCAGACUAGAGUUCGGUAGGGGGAGACUGGAAUUCCUGGUGUAGCGGUGAAAAUGCGCAGAUAUCAGGAGGAACACCGGUGGCGAAGGCGGGUCUCUGGGCCGAAACUGACGCUGAGGAGCGAAAGCGUGGGGAGCGAACAGG